rnacentral:rRNA from 1 species
CCUUGUACACACCGCCCGUCACACCAUGGGAAGUGGGUUACCACCAGAAAGUAGUUAGCCUAACCGCAAGGGGGCGACUACCACGGUGAGAUUCAUGACUGGGGUG